rnacentral:rRNA from 1 species
UACGUAGGGCGCAAGCGUUGUCCGGAAUUAUUGGGCGUAAAGAGCUCGUAGGCGGUCUGUUACGUCCGCUGUGAAAACCCAGGGCUUAACCCUGGGCUUGCAGUGGAUACGGGUAGACUAGAGGCAGGUAGGGGAGAAUGGAAUUCCCGGUGUAGCGGUGAAAUGCGCAGAUAUCGGGAGGAACACUGGUGGCGAAGGCGGCUCUCUGGGCCUGACCUGACGCUGAGGAGCGAAAGCGUGGGGAGCGAACAGG